UAUGGCCCUAUCACGUUGAAACAUUGGUUCUCGUACGAUCACCAAAGUGAAGCAACGCUGAAUAUAGUCUGUACCUAGAUGGGUGACCGCUUGGGAAUACCAGAUGCUGUAA